CUCUGCUCGCGAGGGAGACUCGGCCGACUCGGAGCAUAGCUCGGAGGCGGAUACUCGAUACUCUUUUAAUCACGAGCAUGCCAAGCGGCUGCCUCAGGACUCACUACAGAGUGGCGACGCUAAGAGAUGUCAGUGAAGCCAUAAAGAAGUGGCUGGUUGAGGCCCAAACGGGGAGGCUGGUAGGAAUCAGCGACGUGUCUUAAAAGGGAAGCUGCCUUCGUGACAUCGUGUUACACCAUAUUGUGCGGCGACCACACCCAGGGAAUACGGAACCAAUUCAGUGAAUUGGUCGGAUAUCAUUGAGAAACGAUGAUUUCAAAUUGAUUUGACGAGAUCCAACAUCUUGUGUCACGGACUGCACCAAUACAAUGAAUGCGAAGCCAACUGAAUGAAUUGGCCUAAUGCGAACGAAUGAGACACGAUCAUUCCCAACUGAAGUAAUGAGAUGCUACACCUUCUCGGUCCCGUAGGACAUGUUUCCACAUCCGCGUUCCCAAAUAGUUGAUGUGAUUUCAAAUAUUUGUGAAUAAUUCCUCAAGGGCCCCGUGGUAACCGUGGCCGUGGUAACUUAAAGUACAUAUUGUAACUAGUGUGCCUGUUAUCGUCAAUAAAUUUUCCUAUAACAACUUA